UGCAGUUUUGUAGGAGCAUUAUGUUUUUGAAGAAGUCGGUAUCAAGAAUCAAAGGCGUUAGUUUGGAGGGUCGAAAACUGAUCGAAGAAAACUGCAAAAGUCCAUAUUUUUGUAGUCAAGUCAACUCCCAUUAAAAGUUAAAACCAGUUGUCCAUCAUCGUUUGCACAAUUAAUAGUCUUCUUUAAUAUUUCUCCUUCUCAAUCAAUCAAUGGCGUCUCGAAGUUUCAUCUUAUGGCUACACGGUCUUCACUUCGCCAACACUCGUUGGUCUUUCCCUUCUGCUCCACCUCAACCUGUUACCUGUAACCCUAAGUCCCAAUCACUAAUCAACUAACGCAUCCUUUGAUUUGUUUCUUUUCGAUUAUUGAUCAUAUGUGCAUCUAACGCAUAUAUAUUUGUCUGAUUUAGGCUUUCGAUCGUUUUUCUUGCUCUCAUUGUAAAUUCCAAAUUAUAAUUUCUUGUUUCUGUUAGUGCCUGAUCAUAGGUAUAUCCUGAUCUUGGCCAUUCAAUAAGUGAUGAGGAGCUUCAACACAUGGAAUCAUGGAUCAUAUCCCGUCUACAAAGUGAAAGUUCUGCCUGAAGAUUUGACUAUCAUUGACUUUUCACUUGUAUACAUCCCUAUAUAGAUGCUUAAAAUUAUAUAACCACAUUAUAUUUGUAAUUUUUUUUAAAAAAAACUUAACAAUAUGUAUACAUAUAAGUUUAUGUUGUAUCAUGUAUGCUGGUUGAUAAAUGUUAUACCUUUUACUAAAAAAAGGGAUACAUUAUUGUUUUUGCAUAUUAAAAUUUGAUGUAUACAUCAUACUCAAUCGUUGUAUUAAAAGCAUCUCCGUUGAAGUUUUU